ensembl:lncRNA
AUUCUAAACAACGUUUGCCAUGUUUCUGUCGAUAUUAUGGAGCUAAUUUGGAAAAAAGUUUGGCGUUGUAAGUGACUGCAUUUUCCGGUAUUUUUCUUAGCCAAACGUGACGAACAAAACGGGAGUUAUUUCGUCUACACAAAUAAUAUUUUUGGGAAAAAUGAACAUUUGCUAUCUAACUAAGAGUCUCGUCAUUGAAAACAUCCGAAGUUCUUCAAAGGGACAGAUGGCAAAUUGAUUUGUUAAUUUCACUCCAUGGCAAUGGCAGGACAAAACAGUUGUGCACAACUAGUUUGGAGGCUUGGGCAUCUGAAGCUGCAGUUCAUCUGUCUAAUGAGAGAGACAGGCAUCAUCUGGGGAGUGUAGUUCAUCUCUCUAAUCCCCUGCAAGAAGGGAGACAGGCAUCAUCUGGGGACUGUAGUUCAUCUGUCUAAUCCCCUGCAAGGAGCGAGACAGUCAUCAUCUGGGGAGUGCAGUUCAUCUGUCUAAUCCCCUGCAAGGAGAGAGAUGGGCAUCAUCUGGGGAGUCUGUCUAAUCCCCUGCAAGGAGAGAGACAGGCAUCAUCUGGGGAGUGUAGUUCAUCUGUCUAAUCCCCUGCAAGGAGAGAGACAGGCAUCAUCUGGGGAGUGCAGUUCAUCUGUCUAAUCCCCUGCAAGGAGAGAGACAGGCAUCAUCUGGGGAGUGCAGUUCAUCUGUCUAAUCCCCUGCAAGGAGCGAGACAGGCAUCAUCUGGGGAGUGUAGUUAAUCUGUCUAAUCCCCUGCAAGAAGGGAGACAGGCAUCAUCUGGGGAGUGUAGUUCAUCUGUCUAAUCCCCUGCAAGGAGAGAGAAAGGCAUCAUCUGGGGAGUGCAGUUCAUCUGUCUAAUCCCCUGCAAGGAGAGAGACAGGCAUCAUCUGGGGAGUGUAGUUCAUCUGUCUAAUCCCCUGCAAGGAGAGAGACAGGCAUCAUCUGGGGAGUGUAGUUCAUCUGUCUAAUCCCAUGCAAGUGGGGAGACAGGCAUCAUCUGCGGAGUCUGUCUAAUCCCCUGCAAGGAGAGAGACAGGCAUCAUCUGGGGAGUGUAGUUCAUCUGUCUAAUCCCCUGCAAGGAGAGAGACAGGCAUCAUCUGGGGAGUCUGUCUAAUCCCCUGCAAGGAGAGAGACAGGCAUCAUCUGGGGAGUGCAGUUCAUCUGUCUAAUCUCCUGCAAGGAGAGAGACAGGCAUCAUCUGGGGAGUGCAGUUCAUCUGUCUAAUCCCCUACAAGGAGAGAGACAGGCAUCAUCUGGGGAGUGCAGUUCAUCUGUCUAAUCCCCUACAAGGAGAGAGAC